rnacentral:rRNA from 1 species
GUCGAACGAAGCACUUUAUUUGAUUUCCUUCGGGACUGAUUAUUUUGUGACCGAGUGGCGGACGGGUGAGUAACGCGUGGGUAACCUGCCUUAUACAGGGGGAUAACAGUUGGAAACGGCUGCUAAUACCGCAUAAGCGCACAGCAUCGCAUGAUGCAGUGUGAAAAACUCCGGUGGUAUAAGAUGGACCCGCGUUGGAUUAGCUAGUUGGUGAGGUAACGGCCCACCAAGGCGACGAUCCAUAGCCGACCUGAGAGGGUGACCGGCCACAUUGGGACUGAGACACGGCCCAAACUCCUACGGGAGGCAGCAGUGGGGAAUAUUGCACAAUGGGCGAAAGCCUGAUGCAGCGACGCCGCGUGAGCGAAGAAGUAUUUCGGUAUGUAAAGCUCUAUCAGCAGGGAAGAUAAUGACGGUACCUGACUAAGAAGCACCGGCUAAAUACGUGCCAGCAGCCGCGGUAAUACGUAUGGUGCAAGCGUUAUCCGGAUUUACUGGGUGUAAAGGGAGCGCAGGCGGUGCGGCAAGUCUGAUGUGAAAGCCCGGGGCUCAACCCCGGUACUGCAUUGGAAACUGUCGUACUAGAGUGUCGGAGGGGUAAGCGGAAUUCCUAGUGUAGCGGUGAAAUGCGUAGAUAUUAGGAGGAACACCAGUGGCGAAGGCGGCUUACUGGACGAUAACUGACGCUGAGGCUCGAAAGCGUGGGGAGCAAACAGGAU